AGAGUUUGAUCCUGGCUCAGAUUGAAUGCUGGCGGCAGGCUUAAUACAUGCAAGUCGAACGGUAACAGCAGAAAAGCUUGCUUUUUUGGCUGACGAGUGGCGGACGGGUGAGUAAUACCUAGGAAACUGCCUAAACGAGGGGGAUAACAUUUGGAAACGAGUGCUAAUACCGCAUAAUACUGAGAAGUCAAAGGUUGGUUUACCAAUCGCGUUUAGAUGUGCCUAGGAGGGAUUAGCUAGUUGGUGGGGUAAAGGCCUACCAAGGCGAUGAUCUCUAGCUGGUCUGAGAGGAUGACCAGCCACACUGGAACUGAGACACGGUCCAGACUCCUACGGGAGGCAGCAGUAGGGAAUAUUGCACAAUGGGGGGAACCCUGAUGCAGCCAUGCCGCGUGUGUGAAGAAGGCCUUCGGGUUGUAAAGCACUUUCAGUUUGGAGGAAGGUAUUUGAGUUAAUAGCUUAGAUAUUUGACGUUACAAACAGAAGAAGCACCGGCUAACUCCGUGCCAGCAGCCGCGGUAAUACGGAGGGUGCGAGCGUUAAUCGGAAUAACUGGGCGUAAAGAGCUCGUAGGUGGUUAAUUAAGUCAGAUGUGAAAGCCCUGGGCUUAACCUAGGAUGUGCAUUUGAAACUGGUUAACUAGAGUACUGUAGAGGGAGGUAGAAUUCCAGGUGUAGCGGUGAAAUGCGUAGAUAUCUGGAGGAAUACCAGUGGCGAAGGCGGCCUCCUGGACAGAGACUGACGCUGAGGAGCGAAAGCGUGGGGAGCAAACAGGAUUAGAUACCCUGGUAGUCCACGCCGUAAACGAUGUCAAUUUGAAGCUUGUUUUCAAAAAGAAGUGGGUUUCGUACCUAACCCCCUAA
rnacentral:rRNA from 1 species